rnacentral:miRNA from 14 species
UGCUUUUAAAAAACAUUGGUCUUGGGCUGGAGAGAUGGCUCAGCCGUUAAAGGCUAGGCUCACAACCAAAAUAAA